UGCGUAGGCGGGUCUUUAAGUCAGGGGUGAAAUCCCAGAGCUCAACUCUGGAACUGCCUUUGAUACUGGGUAUCUUGAGUAUGGAAGAGGUAAGUGGAAUUCCGAGUGUAGAGGUGAAAUUCGUAGAUAUUCGGAGGAACACCAGUGGCGAAGGCGGCUUACUGGUCCAUUACUGACGCUGAGGUGCGAAAGCGUGGGGAGCAAACA
rnacentral:rRNA from 1 species